rnacentral:lncRNA from 1 species
CAAAUCUAUAGCCCCAGCGCCCUGAGAUGGACAAGCUCCUCACCCAAAGAGCAGUGGCAUCAAAGGUUGGCAGGGAGACCCUGGAAAGCUCUCCACCCAGGUCGGUGACACCAGAGGGAGACUGAGAUCCUCUUGGUCUCCCAGGGCCUGCCUCCUGGCAAUGGGGCGCGACACGGGGCAUUUCCUGAAAACCCAGCACCCAUGCCGCGGGAACCCUCAAGAUACAUGGGGACCGGAGUUGGGGGGGGGGGCUGACCCCAGAGCCUGGAAGGGGGCGUGAGGCGGAGCCAGGGCAGUGGGGACAGUCAGGAUGCUGUGAGUGUGAGGGGCGUGCGUGCAGAGCGGGCGCCCAGGAGGCGGGUAAAUGGCCGGGCUGAUGCUGCAAUUCUUUUGCUACUGAGGAAGCCGAGUCCAGGAGAGCUGAAAUCACUGGCCGUGUGGAGCCCACGAGCCCGGGGCCCAAGUCCUGAGCCCUCCCUCUCCAAGGAGGCCCUUGACUUCCCUUUGCUCCCAGGCCCUCCCUCUGGUGACUGGUGCCCCUCUAGGGAAGAUCAGAGGCGCCGGGAGGAGAAGGCCUGUGAACUGGGCGCAGGGACUGGAGCUGGGAAGCCCCGAGCCGAGGAACGCCACGGGCUACCAGCUGCCACCAGAAGCUGGCAGAGAGUCAGGGACGACGUUCUCCCUCAAGACUCCAGAGGGAACUGACGCUGCUGACAGUGUGCUUUCAGACUCCUGGCCUCCAGACUGAGAGAAUAAAGUUCUGUUGUUUUAAGCUCA